AUGAACCUUGAGGCAAGGCUUUUGUGUUGUGUUGUCAAGUUUGAUGUUUCUGGGGUGCAUAGUUGUGUUGUUAUAGUCAAGGCGCAAAUAACUUUUCCUUUAUAUAUAUAUACUAGCUGUGCCCGGCCACGCGUUGCUGUGGCGAAGUCUGGUGGUAUGGGAAAUAAAGUAUUGAGGAUUGGUGGUAGUUAAGGUAAAGGGUAAAGGUUUUCCCUGACAUUAAGUCCAUUAUAAAUGGGUUAUAUAGCUGUGUGGAAGGGCCUUGAGUCUACACUGCCAUAUAAUCCAGUUAAAAUCUGAUAAUCUGUAUUUUAUAGGCAGUGUGGAAGAGGCCUAAGUGAGACCUAACUCUGCCUGUCCCCUGGGCUGAGUGGGUUGCUAGGAGACCAAGUGGGCGGAGCUUAGCCUUCUAACUGGCAGCAAUUGGAUAAAAACAAUUAUUCCUCUCCCUCUAAUUAGGACUUUAUUUUUCUUUUCUUUUUGUUGUAUGAACGUAAAGGCAUGGAUGAGGGAUUGUGCUGCCAAGUUUAGUGUUUCUGGGAUGUGUAGUUUUGUUGUUUUGUCCUAGGCCGAAAUUUCAUGACCCUUUUAUAUAUAUAGAUAAUACUAAUAAUAAUACCAUAUAAUAAUAUUAAUUAUAUGUUAUAUAUUACAUAUAAUAUUACAGUAUAGUGGUAUAGUUCGAUAUAGUAAUAUAUAAUGCUAAUAUUGUGCUAUGCUAAUAAUAUAAUAUAUUGUAUGUACAUACAGCUGCUCUGAGUCCCCUUCGGGGUGAGAAGGGCGGGCUAUAAAUGUAGUAAAUAAAUGUGGUAAAUGAAUAAAUAAAUAAUUUUAGACUUAGGCUCGCCCAGUUUAGGCACACAACAACAACAAUCCUAAUUAACUUGACUAUCUCAUUGGCCAGAAUCAGGCCCACACUUCCUAUUGAAAGCCUGAUAGGUUUAUGUUGGUUAAAAUUGUUUUAAUUUUUUAAAUAUUGUAUUGUUCUUUCAUUGUUAUUGUUGUUUUGCACUACAAAGAAGACACGUGCAGUGCAAUAGGAAUUUGUUCAUUUUUUUCCCCAAAUGAUAAUUCGGCCUCUCAA
rnacentral:lncRNA from 1 species